AGCACUUUUUUUCAUAGAAGCGCGUAAAAAUUGGCAAUUAAUGAAACAUUUGCGCUGACAAUACUAUCCUUUUCUCCUAUGCUUCGUUCAAUUUCCAGGUUUCCCUAUUUCUCUCGCGCUCUCUCCUCUCCCUCUCAUCUGGUUCGAGCACAGACCCAUCUAUCCUCUUCAUUUCCUCUAGUUCAAGCACUCUUCACCAACAACAGGUGAGUUUUCUUUCGUUUCAAUUUCUAAUUUGCUUAUUUUGACAAUUUAUUGUUGGAAUAUUGAAAUAUUGAACUGAUUCAACUAUAAGUCAUUUUCUUCAUUUUUCUGCAACUGAUUUUUGUUCCAAAAUGAUUAAAUUUGCUGAUUAAUUUGGUUAAAUUCUAUUUUUAAUUAAUUUUUGGGACUUGAGGUGGAUUAAUUUAUUUGGUUAAUUUGGUUAGAAUCGUUUUUUCCCGUAUAAUUAGUUGAUUAGUUGUAAUUUAGUUCGGUGAUUAGUUUUUGGAUGAUACUGGAAGAUUUGAUUGCUGUUAAAUUAAAUUUACAUAGACAUGGAUACUCUCUUUCAUGUGGUAUCAGCCAAAACUUGUCUGCAACAUAAAUUUACACCGGCAUGUGGAUAAUGAGCUUUUCAAAAGUAGUUUUUUUAUUUGGACCAAAAGAUAAAAAAAUAGUAUGAGUCGCAUGAAAUAGAAGAUUACAGAAUCAUAGUAAGCAUAUGAUUUUGAGCAGGCAAUGAACAUCUCAGAGCCUUAUCUCUGGCUCAUAAUUACAAUUAUGGUAUGUAAGUCUUGAUGAUGUUGUGGUUUUUUUUGCUUUAUUGUGUGACUUGUUGUGGUCUCCAUCCCAGAGCUAUAUACAUCAUAGAGCUUCUGAUGUUGUUGUGGUCUCCAUUGAACUUUGUGUCUUGUUUUGCUCUAUCAUUAAAAUUCAAAGUUUUCAAGCCCUUUUCAUUAGUUUUCCUUUAAUAUUAUAUAUAUAAGGAUGGCAAAAAACGUGGGAACUUCAGCAAGAGCUCCACAUGGUACAUGCAAUGAUCAUAAUAUAUCCGUAUUCAGUGAGUUAUGCAUCAAGGAUGUUGAGGCCGGACGUCGUCUUGGCCCUCACUUUAACAAAGAAAGAUCGGCAAAUUUGAUAGAAAACUUUAGGAAAGAAACAGGAAAUUCUUAUAGUAAAGCACAAUUGAAAAAUAAGUGAGAUAGACUAAAAAAGGAUUGGUAGUUGUGCAAAAAACUAAUUGGGAAAGAAACUGGCCUAGAGUGGAAUCCAAGCAAGGGAAUAGUGGAUGCCUCUGAUGAAUGGUGGAAUAAUAAGAUUCAGAUAAAUCCUGAAUAUGGAAGAUUGCAGAAAGGCAUCACUCCUGAGUUCGAGGAAAAGUUGGAUAGGAUGCUCUCAAACAACGUGGCUAUUGGUGCAAAUGCUUGGGCACCUUCAUUUGGUGCACUACUACCAAAUAGUAGGGAUGACUCAACAGGAAAUGUUAAUAUACAAAAUGAAUCUAUUGGAUCAGAUGAUGAGGAGAGUGCACUACCCAAUCUAUGAGAAAAGGUGCUAAGAAAGGAAAAAGAAAAAAGGUGACCAAGGUGAAUUGAGAACAAGUAAGUUUGAUAGGAAAAGGAAAAAGGUUGGCGGUGCUGCAAAAUUGUAUGGUCAAAUUGACCGCCUUAUUGGUGCAGUAGAGGGUAAGAGCACUAUGAGGCAAUUGGUGAUAGGCACUAGUAUUCCUGAAGUUGUGCAGGUUGUUGAACCGUUACCGGUUGUGAGCGUACUAGCCCCUUGUGGCUGUUUGCAACUAAUUUGUUUUUUAAUCAAGAGAAGGGAGAGAUGUUCUCUAUCCUGAAAGAUCCUAGUGUGCAACUCACUUCGCUGAAUUUUGAGUUCAUCAACCAAUGAGGGAGUUGUAGUUUUACAAAACAUUUUGGAUUUGUACACUCUUAGUCAGAUUUUAGGAUUAUGUCUUAGAAUUUGUUUGACACCUUCCUUGAAUGUUAAUUUGAAUUAUGAGUUAAUUUUUAGAUACUUUGUUUUCAAUAUUGGUACAACUGUUAAUUGGCAAGGUGCUUGAAUUUUGUUAAGGAUUAUUUCUUAACUUGCAGGUGCGCUUGAAUAUGAACAUUCUAGAUAAUGAUGAGGAAGAGUUUGACAUAUUAGCAUGCGCUUGUACUCGAGCUAUUGAAGCAUAUUAUCUAAAAUAUGUGCAUAAAACUCCAUGUAUGAAUUUUUUCAAACAGGAGUGGCCAACCAACGAGGCAUAAAGAGGUAUUCAACCAUAGACAUUUUUCUCUUAGAAGCGUAAUUGAGCGUACGUUUAGAGUAUGAAAAAAAUGUGGGCAAUUUUGAGGGAUAUGCUUGAUUGUGUGUUCAAUAAGCAAGUGAAUAUUGUCAUUGCUACAAUGGCUCUUCAUAACUACAAAAGGAGGCAUUCUGAACGUGAUAGGCAUUUUGAUGACCCCGAAGACUAUAGUGAAGAGAGCGAUAUUGAUGAUGAUGAAGAGGAAGAUCGAAAUCACGACCAAGGAGGGAUGGAAGCAUUAAGAAAUAGCAUAAUGAUGAACGCAUAUUUUACUAUUUAUUUUCUCGCGAAAGCUACAUUUUCUUGUGAUAUUUUGGACUUAGACGAAAGGAAUUACAUAGUGUUGUGCUUUUAUAGUUAUAUUAAUGAGGUGGAGGAAAAUAUGAUGUUAUAAUUCCUUAUUUUUAAAUAAACCUAAUGGUCUGUUAUGAUUUAAGUGUCUACCUAUUUGGCUAUAUAAUAUACUUGUGGCUUACAUUCAUGUUCUUUUGAUUUAUGUGCAGUGCAUGUCACUUGUUGGAAUUGGAGAAGCCUUCAGCACGUGUUUAUUUCAUAGAUCACAAGUCUAUGCAAUACUGAACAGACAAGUAAAA